CUACGGGAUGCUGCAGUGAGGAAUAUUGCACAAUGGGGGGAACCCUGAUGCAGCAACGCCGCGUGGAGGAUGACGCAUUUCGGUGUGUAAACUCCUUUUAUAUGUCAAGAAAAUGACGGUAGCAUAUGAAUAAGCACCGGCUAACUCCGUGCCAGCAGCCGCGGUAAUACGGAGGGUGCAAGCGUUACUCGGAAUCACUGGGCGUAAAGGACGCGUAGGCGGGUUGGAAAGUCAGGUGUGAAAUCCUACAGCUUAACUGUAGAACUGCACUCGAAACUUCUAAUUUAGAGUAUGGGAGGGGGAGAUGGAAUUAGUGGUGUAGGGGUAAAAUCCGUAGAUAUCACUAGGAAUACCUAAAGCGAAGGCGAUCUCCUGGAACAUUACUGACGCUAAGGCGUGAAAGCGUGGGGAGCAAACAGGAUUAGAUACCCCUGUAGUC
rnacentral:rRNA from 1 species